GUGUCAGCCGCCGCGGUAAUACAGAGGUGGCAAGCGUUGUUCGGAAUUACUGGGCGUAAAGGGCGCGUAGGCGGUCCCGUAAGUUCCGCGUGAAAUCCCCCGGCUCAACCGGGGAAUGGCGCGGAAGACUGCGGGGCUUGAGUUCGGGAGAGGGAAGCGGAAUUCCGGGUGUAGCGGUGAAAUGCGUAGAUAUCCGGAGGAACACCGGUGGCGAAGGCGGCUUCCUGGACCGACACUGACGCUGAGGCGCGAAAGCUAGGGGAGCAAACGGGAUUAGAAACCCCAGUAGUCC
rnacentral:rRNA from 1 species